UCAAGAUGAAGCUGUGUUUAAGUUUAUUGCUGUGCGUGUGUGUAUUAGGUUUCUCCUAUUCAGAUAAGGUUACACAGACACCCGCUGAAUUAUCAGUCAUGGAGGGAGGUCCGGCUACAUUUGACUGUGAAUAUGAAACAACCACCAGCAACGCUGAUCUGUUCUGGUAUAUUCAACACGCUGGGAAGCCCCUUAACUAUAUCUUACAGAGAGCAUCAUACACCAAUAAAGAGACAGAAUCUGAUAGCAAGUAUGCAUCCAAACUGGAUAAAGAGGCCAAAUCUACCUACCUGAAGAUUUCUGAUGUCACAGUGUCUGACUCUGGGGUGUAUUAUUGUGCUCUGAGUGCCACAGUGUCUGUGACUGCAGACUGCACUGUACAAGAAGCUCUGACUCUGUCCAAGGUGCUGACACAUGUCUUUAUAUAUAUACCCAGUUCACACUGA